CUCGUGGCUCGUGGUUUUCAGCAGGAGCAUGGUCGUGAUUAUGACGAGACUUUUGCUCCUGUGGCCCAUAUGACCACUAUUCGUACACUUCUUGCCGUUGCCUCUGCACGCCACUGGUCUAUAUCUCAGCUUGAUGUUAAGAAUGCCUUUCUUAAUGGUGAGCUGCGUGAGGAGGUGUACAUGCAGCCACCACCUGGGUAUUCUGUUCCUGAUGGCAUGGUGUGUCGUCUUCGUCGCUCUCUCUAUGGCCUUAAGCAAGCCCCUCGCGCCUGGUUUGAGCGUUUUGCCUCUGUGGUCACUACUGCUGGUUUUUCAGCAAGUGCUCAUGAUCCAGCAUUGUUUAUUCACCUUUCUCCUCGUGGCCGGACUCUUCUUCUUCUCUAUGUUGAUAAUAUGGUCAUCGCUGGGGAUGACCCCGAGUAUAUUGCCUUUGUAAAGGCCCGUCUUGGUGAGCAGUUUCUUAUGUCUGAUCUUGGACCUCUUCGC
rnacentral:rRNA from 1 species